GAUGAACGCUGGCGGCGUGCCUAAUACAUGCAAGUCGAGCGAACAGACGAGGAGCUUGCUCCUCUGACGUUAGCGGCGGACGGGUGAGUAACACGUGGAUAACCUACCUAUAAGACUGGGAUAACUUCGGGAAACCGGAGCUAAUACCGGAUAAUAUAUUGAACCGCAUGGUUCAAUAGUGAAAGACGGUUUUGCUGUCACUUAUAGAUGGAUCCGCGCCGCAUUAGCUAGUUGGUAAGGUAACGGCUUACCAAGGCAACGAUGCGUAGCCGACCUGAGAGGGUGAUCGGCCACACUGGAACUGAGACACGGUCCAGACUCCUACGGGGGGCAACAGUAGGGAAUCUUCCGCAAUGGGCGAAAGCUUGACGGAGCAACGCCGCGUGAGUGAUGAAGGUCUUCGGAUCGUAAAACUCUGUUAUUAGGGAAGAACAAAUGUGUAAGUAACUAUGCACGUCUUGACGGUACCUAAUCAGAAAGCCACGGCUAACUACGUG
rnacentral:rRNA from 1 species